GAAAAGGCUUGGAAAAGUCUUUCAAUAAAAAGAAAUAAUAAAAAUGGUUAUUAUUUCGCCAUAGGAUAGGAUUGCGGUCGAUUAUGGCUGUUGGUGAGGUAAUGGCUCACCAAACCGAUAAUCGAUAGGGGCCGUGAGAGCGGGAGCCCCGAGAUGGGUACUGAGACAACGACCCAGGCCUUACGAGGUGCAGCAGGCGCGAAAACUCCGCAAUGCACGAAAGUGUGACGGGGUUACCCAAUGUGCUUAAUUUUUAAGCUGUGGUAGGUGUGUAAUGUACCCUACUAGAAAGGAGAGGGCAAGGCUGGUGCCAGCCGCCGCGGUAAAACCAGCUCUUCAAGUGGUCGGGAUAUUUAUUGGGCUUAAAGUGUCCGUAGCUUGUAUGAUAAGUUCCUGGUAAAAUCUAAUAGCUUAACUAUUAGAAGGCUAGGAAUACUGUUGUACUAGAGGGCGGGAGAGGUCUGAGGUACUUCAGGGGUAGGGGUGAAAUCUUAUAAUCCUUGAAGGACCACCAGUGGCGAAGGCGUCAGACUGGAACGCGCCUGACAGUGAGGGACGAAAGCCAGGGGAGCGAACCGGAUUAGAUACCCGGGUAGUCCUGGCCGUAAACGAUGCACACUAGGUGUUGGUAUGGCUAUGAGCCGUAUCAGUGCCGAAGGGAAACCAUUU
rnacentral:rRNA from 1 species